CCUACGGGUGGCAGCAGUGGGGAAUAUUGGGCAAUGGGCGCAACUCUGAUCCAGCAACGCCGCGUGAAGGAAGAAGGCAUUCGGGUUGUAAACUUCUUUUAUCAGGGACGAAGCAAGUGACGGUACCUGAUGAAUCACCCACGGCUAACUACGUGCCAGCAGCCGCGGUAAUACGUAGGUAGCAAGCGUUAUCCGGAUUUACUGGGUGUAAAGGGGAUGUAGGCGGGAGUGCAAGUCAGAUGUGAAAACUAUGGGCUCAACCCAGAGCCUGCAUUUGAAACUGUACUCCUUGAGUGCUGGAGAGGCAAGCGGAAUUCCGGGUGUAGCGGUGAAAUGCGUAGAUAUACGGAGGAACACCAGUGGCGAAGGCGGAUUGCUGGACAGUAACUGACGCUGAGGCGCGAAAGCGUGGGGAGCAAACAGGAUUAGAUACCCGUGUAGUC
rnacentral:rRNA from 1 species